rnacentral:rRNA from 1 species
GACGAACGCUGGCGGCGUGCUUAAUACAUGCAAGUCGAACGGAAAGGUCCUGCUCUUGCGGGGUGCUCGAGUGGCGAACGGGUGUGUAACACGUGAGUAACCUGCACUUGACUUUGGGAUAUCUCCAGGAGAAAGGGGAUAAUACCGGAUAGGAGCUACUGCUGCAUGGUGGGGGAUGGAGAGAUUCGGCGGUUGGGGAUGGACUCGCGGCUUAUCAGCUUGUUGGUGAGGUAGUGGCUUACAAAGGCUUUGAAGGGUAGCCGGCCUGAGAGGGUGACCGGCCACAUUGGGACUGAGAUACGGCGCAGACUCCUACGGGAGGCAGCAGUGGGGAAUAUUGCACAAUGGGCGGAAGCCUGAUGCAGCAACGCCGCGUGCGUGAUGACGUCCUUCUGGUUGUAAACCGCUUUCGCCGUUGACGAAGCGUUAGUGACGGUAAUUGGUAAAGAAGCACCGGCUAACUACGUG